UUUAAGUCACCUUCAUUUCCAAAAUUUUCACUUUCACUUUCCUUGUUCCUCAAGAGAUUGAUUUCCAACACUCCAAUCUCUAUGCUUGAAACUUGCAAUUCCAUGUAUCAAUUAAACCAAAUUCACUCACACACAAUCAAAAUGGGUUACUCUUCAAGCCAUGUGUUUGUAACUAAAGUUAUAAUCUUCCGUUGCACAAAGGAAUCGGGGGAUGUUUUUU
rnacentral:lncRNA from 1 species